ensembl:lncRNA SNHG8 small nucleolar RNA host gene 8
CUUUCACAUUCGGGAAGCGUCGGGAUUAGGUGAAAGUACGUAGUUGUCUUUCGUAAGUUAAAAUGAUAAUUGGGCCGAAACUUACUGCCUUACCUAAAAGGCAGCGCAGUCAGGAUAUUGGUAGGUCGGGGGCGGCUUUGGAAACCCUUAAGUUUACAAGCAUGCGCGGACUUGAGUGCUCAUUAGGUCGCCGGGCGUCCACGUGCAGCCCUGGACCCUGAACCCCGGCGUGCGUGGGCCGUGGGCCCUCGGGGAAAGGUUCCGUGCACUCGGGGACUCCGGUGAAGCCUGUUCAGCCGUCUGUGUCAUGUGGCCAUCUUGAGUCUACUCUGUCGCUCUUGUGCCCUAGCACCCCGAGAACCGUCAGUUUGAGCCAGAUGACUAUCAAGAAAUCCAAGUGGUAAUGGGCGAAGUUUAUUCAGCAUCCGGCAAUGGACUUAUCGUAGUUGGGGAAACGGGUGUUCCGAAUAAUAUCCUGGAAGUUAUCAGGACACCUAUUUUAAAUAUAGGCCUGAAUUUUGUAAAGUAAUAUUUAAGGUGGUCCGUGAUAAUUAAAUAAAAUGCUUAAUUCAUGUGGCUA